rnacentral:rRNA from 1 species
CUGGCUCAGAUUGAACGCUGGCGGCAUGCCUUACACAUGCAAGUCGAACGGCAGCAUAGGAGCUUGCUCCUGAUGGCGAGUGGCGAACGGGUGAGUAAUAUAUCGGAACGUGCCCUAGAGUGGGGGAUAACUAGUCGAAAGACUAGCUAAUACCGCAUACGAUCUACGGAUGAAAGUGGGGGAUCGCAAGACCUCAUGCUCCUGGAGCGGCCGAUAUCUGAUUAGCUAGUUGGUGGGGUAAAAGCCUACCAAGGCGACGAUCAGUAGCUGGUCUGAGAGGACGACCAGCCACACUGGGACUGAGACACGGCCCAGACUCCUACGGGAGGCAGCAGUGGGGAAUUUUGGACAAUGGGGGCAACCCUGAUCCAGCAAUGCCGCGUGAGUGAAGAAGGCCUUCGGGAUUUGGAGCUCUUUUGUCAGGGAAGAAACGGUAGUAGCUAAUAUCUAUUACUAAUGAC